UGGGGUGUAGCUCAGUGGUCAAGCAUGUGCGUAGCACUUCUAAAUUCUGGGUUCAAUUCUCAGCACCCCCA
rnacentral:tRNA from 1 species